rnacentral:rRNA from 1 species
CAAGUCGAACGAGAAUCUGGAGGUUCAAGUUUUCGGACAAGAACCUUCGGAGGAAAGUGGCGGAAGGGUGAGUACAACAUGGAUAAUCUACCUUCAAGUUGGGUAUAGCUUCCCGAAAGGGGAGAUAAUCCCGAAUGUGGUGAUCCGGCGCCUGUCGGAGAAUCCAAAGGUGGGGACCGCAAGGCCUGCCGCUUGAAGAUGAGUCCGUGCACUAUCAGCUAGUUGGUGAGGUAAUGGCUCACCAAGGCGAUGACGGUUAGCUGGUCUGAGAGGAUGGUCAGCCACACUGGGACUGAGAUACUGCCCAGACUCCUACGGGAGGCUGCAGUCGAGAAUCAUUCGCAAUGGGCGCAAGCCUGACGGUGCGACGUCGCGUGGAGGAUGAAGGUCUUCGGAUUGUAAACUCCUGUCAUGUGGGAUAAAUGGCCAGGGCAUGAAUAGUGCCUUGGAAUGAUAGUACCACAGGAGGAAGGGACGGCUAACUCUGUG